AUGUCCAGCAUCUUCAGUCUGGACUCCAAUGAUGCUCAGACCGGGCCCUCCGUGUCUCCCUCCGUGUCUCUGCUGGUCUCUGGAGACUCCUCCGCUCUGCUCUGCCUGCUCAGCUCUUACUCUCCACAGGGGGCGACGGUGAGCUGGACGCUGGACGGGUCAGAGGUCACCGAGGGGAUUCAGACCAGCGCAGAGAGCGAGCGGGACGGUCUCUACAGUCGCAGCAGUGUCCUGAGCCUCAGCAAAGCACGCUGGGAAGGCGCAGGGCGCUUGGUCUGCAGAGGAACACAUGCCGGAGCUGCUCACGAGGCCUCGUUCCUCAAGAGCUCCGACUGCUGAUGUUUCUCCAGUGAAGACCAGCGGAUCUGAGCCAAGUCACGUGAUUUACAGCUCAAUACUGAAGCAGUCUGUCAAUGUGCUGCCAUUGCUGUUCAUUCAAUAAAGCUUCAUCUGAACGCCUUA